GACGAACGCUGGCGGCGUGCUUAACACAUGCAAGUCGAGCGGUAAGGCCCUUUCGGGGGUACACGAGCGGCGAACGGGUGAGUAACACGUGGGUGACCUGCCUUUAGCUCUGGGAUAAGCCUGGGAAACCGGGUCUAAUACCGGAUAUGACUCCGCGGCGCAUGUUGUGGGGUGGAAAGCCUUGUGCGGCUGGAGAUGGGCCCGCGGCCUAUCAGCUUGUUGGUGGGGUGAUGGCCUACCAAGGCGACGACGGGUAGCCGGCCUCGAGAGGGCGACCGGCCACACUGGGACUGAGACACGGCCCAGACUCCUACGGGAGGCAGCAGUGGGGAAUCUUGCGCAAUGGGCGAAAGCCUGACGCAGCGACGCCGCGUGAGGGAUGACGGCCU
rnacentral:rRNA from 1 species